rnacentral:rRNA from 1 species
CCUACGGGAGGCAGCAGUGAGGAAUAUUGGUCAAUGGGCGCGAGCCUGAACCAGCCACGUAGCGUGAAGGAUGAAUGCCCUACGGGUUGUAAACUUCUUUUAUAACGGAAUAAAGUGAGGCACGUGUGCCUUAUUGUAUGUACUUUAUGAAUAAGGAUCGGCUAACUCUGUGCCAGCAGCCGCGGUAAUACGGAGGAUCCGAGCGUUAUCCGGAUUUAUUGGGUUUAAAGGGAGCGGAGAUGGGUUGUUAAGUCAGUUGUGAAAGUUUGCGGCUCAACCGUAAGAUUGCAAGUGAUACUGGCAGUCGUGAGUACAGUAGAGGUAAGCGGAAUUCGUGGUGUAGCGGUGAAAUGCUUAGAUAUCACGAAGAACUCCGAUGGCGAAGGCAGCUUACUAAACUGCCACUGACAUUGAUGCUCGAAAGUGUGGGGAGCAAACAGGAUUAGAUACCCUGGUAGUC